rnacentral:rRNA from 1 species
GUGUGGAUGUUGGAUUCAGCUUGCUCUUUUCAUGCGACACCCAACAGGGAGUGGUUCUCUUCGUACAAGUGUGGUGAGUUUGGUUUAGCCUAUGUGGGCGAUGACACAGGUUAUCGUGUUGCUGGAGUAGGUGACAUCAAAAUUAAGAUGUUUGACGGAGUUGAGCGGAUGCUUCGGGGAGUCAGGCAUGUGCCGGGGCUAAGGAGGAAUCUAAUUUCGCUUGGUGUUCUUCAUGAUGGUGGUAUGGUAUUCCGUUGUGAUCGGGAUAGGAAGACCAUGAGAAUCAUGGAAGAUGAGGUGACCGUGAUGAUUGGAGAGAGGACGGCUUCGCAUCUUUACAAGCUGCAAGGGAGCACUAUUGCA